AACCUUUGGAAUUCUGGUGCUGCCACCAACAAGAACAAUUUCAUCAAUCUGUUGCUUCUGCAAUCCAGCAUCCUCCAUUGCCUUCUUAACUGGUCCCAUGGUCUUUCUGAAUAAGUCGUUAUUCAACUCUUCAAACCUAGCUCUGGUAAGUGGUUCAGAGAAAUCCACACCGUCAAAGAGAGAUUCAAUCUCAACACGAACUUGAUGUUGGCUACUCAAAGCUCUCUUGGCACGUUCACUUUCUCUUCUAAGCUUUCCAAGAGCUCUAUUGUCCUUGCUAAUGUCCUUUCCAUGCUUCUUCUUGAUCAACUUGAUGAAGUACUCC
rnacentral:misc_RNA from 1 species